rnacentral:rRNA from 1 species
UACGGGGGGAGCAAGCGUUGUUCGGAUUUACUGGGCGUAAAGGGCGCGUAGGCGGCCACCGCAAGUCAGUUGUGAAAUCUCUGGGCUUAACCCAGAACGGUCAGCUGAUACUGCGGGGCUAGAGUGCAGAAGGGGCAACUGGAAUUCUCGGUGUAGCGGUGAAAUGCGUAGAUAUCGGGAGGAACAUCAGUGGCGAAGGCGGCUACCUGGCCCAAUACUGACACUCAGGUGCGACAGCGUGGGGAGCAAACAGG